UACGGAGGAUGCAAGCGUUAUCCGGAAUGAUUGGGCGUAAAGCGUCCGCAGGUGGCUAUGUAAGUCUGCUGUUAAAGAGUGAGGCUCAACCUCAUAAGAGCAGUGGAAACUACAUGGCUAGAGUGCGUUCGGGGCAGAGGGAAUUCCUGGUGUAGCGGUGAAAUGCGUAGAUAUUGGGAAGAACACCAGCGGCGAAAGCGCGUGACUGGACCAAAACUGACACUCAUGGACGAAAGCUAGGGGAGCGAAAGGG
rnacentral:rRNA from 1 species